AUUGAACGCUGGCGGCAGGCCUAACACAUGCAAGUCGAACGAAUGGCGGACGGGUGUGUAAUGUCUGGGACACUGCCUGAUGGUUGGGGAUAACUACUGGAAAUGGUAUCUAAUACCGCAUACUAUCCGAUCUCCCCAGAUGGGAGUAGCUAGUUGGUGGGGUAACUGCUCACCUAGGCGACGAUCCCUAGCUGGUCUGAGAGGAUGACGAGCGACACGGCAGCUGAGACUCGGUCCAAACUCGUACGGGAGGGAGCAGUGGGGAAGGUGGCAGAGUGGGCGCAAGUCUGAAGCCGCGAAGCCGCGUGUAUGAGGAAGGCCUUAAGGUUGUAAAGUACUUUCAGCGGGGAGGCGUUACCCUUUGAAGAAGCACCUGCUAACUCCGUGCCAGCAGCCGCGGUAAUUC
rnacentral:rRNA from 1 species